GAUUAUGGCUCAGGAUGAACGCUAGCUACAGGCUUAACACAUGCAAGUCGAGGGGCAGCAUUGGGAUAGCUUGCUAUUUCAGAUGGCGACCGGCGCACGGGUGAGUAACGCGUAUCCAACCUUCCUGCCAGUAGGGAACAGCCCGGCGAAAGUCGGAUUAAUGCCCUAUGUUCUUCAAUGCGGACAUCUAAGUUGAAGGAAAGAUUCAUCGCUGGCAGAUGGGGAUGCGUCCGAUUAGCUUGCCGGCGGGGUAACGGCCCACCGGGGCGACGAUCGGUAGGGGUUCUGAGAGGAAGGUCCCCCACACUGGUACUGAGACACGGACCAGACUCCUACGGGAGGCAGCAGUGAGGAAUAUUGGUCAAUGGGCGUAAGCCUGAACCAGCCAAGUAGCGUGCAAGGACGACGGCCCUACGGGUUGUAAACUGCUUUUAUGCGGGGAUAAAGUGCGGCACGUGUGCCGCUUUGCAGGUACCGCAUGAAUAAGGACCGGCUAAUUCCGUGCCAGCAGCUGC
rnacentral:rRNA from 1 species